CUCGAUUAGAGCCUAUGGUUAUCAGCAUUUUUCUCUUUUUUUUGCUACUUCUCCUGGUGAAUGCCAGCAGAAAACAAACCUUCUAAAAUUCUACCACCAGCUGAAUUAACAUUUUCUAAAAUCCUAAAACCAGCAGAAAGCAGAAAACCCAGGAAAAAUUCCAAAUAGAAACAAUUGAAACUCCGAUUGGUUUUUUUUUGAGUACUAGAAAGUCUGGAUGAACCGAGAUGGCGAGCCUAGCCUGCGAGACUGGUAGAUGAUCUUUAACGGAGUGGCCAGUUGAUUUGUCACCAGAGGAAUCCUGAUUUAAGUCGAGAGUGCCAGUUAAGGCAUUAUUCUUCACACACAGUAGUGUUACAAUAAGUGCAUUGGUGGACAAGGAAAUUAAUGUUCACUUAAAUACACAUUCACCGAACUUUGGACCCAUAUUCCACAUUCACUUACGGAACCAAUUGCACAUUUAAGGGGAAUUUAUUUUCUAUUAUUUUAAAGAGCUCUUAAUUCUUUUUCUGUUUCAACAUUGUUGUACCAAUUAUUUUCACUGUUGUAAGAAGGCAAUAAAAUUGUCAGUUGUUCAACUCAA